GACAAUGUGGCCGAGUGGUUAAGGCGCUGUGUUUAGGUUGCGUGUACCAGCACUAAUACCGCAGUGGGAAACCGCGCGAGUUCGAAUCUCGUCAUUGUCA
rnacentral:tRNA from 1 species